UACAGAGGUCUCAAGCGUUGUUCGGAUUCAUUGGGCGUAAAGGGUGCGUAGGUGGCGCCGUAAGUCGGGUGUGAAAUUUCGGAGCUUAACUCCGAAACUGCAUUCGAUACUGCGGUGCUUGAGGACUGGAGAGGAGACUGGAAUUCAUGGUGUAGCAGUGAAAUGCGUAGAGAUCAUGAGGAACACCAGAGGCGAAGGCGGUUACCUGGACAGUUACUGACGCUCAGGCACGAAAGCGUGGGGAGCAAAAGGG
rnacentral:rRNA from 1 species